CCUUGUGGCCUCUUUUUGUGCUUGUAGUUGCAGGCACUUGGUCUCUUCCUUCUAUCUUCAUUAGAACUUUGUAUAGAUGAUUUCUUGAUCUUGUUGCUUUAACAAUACGGUUUCUGUCUUUAUUAUAAAGUGUUAAAUAAUCUUCUUUCAUCCUUACAUUGCAUCCUCCUUCAGUUGAUUGUCCGAGGCUAAUGAUAUUACUCU
rnacentral:lncRNA from 1 species